UUUUUUGUGUCGGUGUACUCAGGUGAAUAUGAUGUUUGUGAUGUUACUCUUGUGUGUAUAUCCACACCGGGCGGGCUUGAAAAAUAUGCCUGGCCGCGGUGGGAAUCGAACCUACGACCUUUGGAAUACUAGCCCAAUGCUCUGCCAACUGAGCUACGCGGUCUGGUCGGUUCAGUAAGUGAUAUUUCGGAACAGAAUCUAGUUCCUUCGAUACCAAUGUAAUCUAGUAAUAUGAUUUUUUCUGUGUUGGUGUAAUGUACUUAGGUGAAUAUAAUGCUUGUGAUGUUACUCUGAGUGUAUAUCCACACCGGGCGAGCUUGAGAAAUAUGUCUGUCCACGGUGGGAAUCGAACCUACGACCUUUGGAAUACUAGCCCAAUGCUCUGCCAACUUCA